GAUGAACGCUGGCGGCGUGCCUAAUACAUGCAAGUCGAGCGAACAGACGAGGAGCUUUCUCCCCUGACGUUAGCGGCGGACGGGUGAGUAACAAGUAGAUAACCUACUUAUAAGACUGGGAUAACUUCGGGAAACCGGAGCUAAUACUGGCUAAUAUAUUGUACGGCAUAGUUCAAUAGUGAUUGACGGCUUUGCCGUCACUAUUAGAUGAUGCCGCGCUGCAUUAGAUACUUGGUAAGGUAACGGCUUACCAAGGCAACGAUGCUGAGCCGACCUGAGAGGGUGAACGGACACACUGGAACUGAGACACGGUACAGACUUCUACGAGAGGCAGGAGGAGAGAAUUGGACGAAAGGGGCGAAAGCUUGACAGAGCAACGGCGCGUGAGUAAUGAAGGUCCUGGGAUCGUAAAACUCUGUUAGUAGGGAAAAAGAAAUGUGUAAGUAACUAUGCACGUCUUGACGGUACCAAGUCAGAAAGCCAGGUCUAACCACG
rnacentral:rRNA from 1 species